CCUACGGGUGGCUGCAGUGAGGAAUAUUGGUCAAUGGGCGGAAGCCUGAACCAGCCAAGUAGCGUGCAGGAUGACGGCCCUACGGGUUGUAAACUGCUUUUAUACGGGAAUAACGCGCCUUACGUGUAGGGCCUUGCAUGUACCGUAUGUAUAAGGACCGGCUAAUUCCGUGCCAGCCGCCGCGGUAAUACGGAAGGUCCGGGCGUUAUCCGGAUUUAUUGGGUUUAAAGGGAGCGUAGGCCGCAUGUCAAGCGUGCUGUGAAAUGUCCGGGCUCAACCCGGGGCGUGCAGCGCGAACUGGCGUGCUUGAGUGCGCAGAAAGAAGGCGGAAUUCGUGGUGUAGCGGUGAAAUGCUUAGAUAUGACGAAGAACCCCGAUUGCGAAGGCAGCUUGCUGCAGCGGAACUGACGCUGAUGCUCGAAAGCGCGGGUAUCGAACAGGAUUAGAUACCCCUGUAGUC
rnacentral:rRNA from 1 species